UUUUAUGUCAUGUCAAACUAAGUUGAAAGCAUUCUACAGUUUAUUUCUUUGUAUUUCCCUAACACAGUUCGUUUUGUAUAGAUGUUAUCGGUGUCGUUGACACCGUGCUUUACACUCAGCAAAACUCUGGAGGGAAGAAGCCACAGAGUGUAAAUCAAUUUCAAUCUCAACAUAAUCUGCUUCUCUCUUUUAGAAUAUGGUGAAGCGCGGCCAUUGCGGAACUUAGAUAUAUUAUGAAAAUAGCUAUGGAAACAAGUGAACUUCGAUAAAUCAGGACAGCUGCUAGCAGCUUAUGGCUAUGGGGAUCCAAAAUUUAAGUCAUGAAUUUACACCUAACAAUGCGACGUGUACAAUUUUGGAGUUGAUAGGUUAGAACUUUUGACUGGCCACCAGUCCAAUGACAGGUGAGACUAAUUUGAUACAUAUCACCUUCUGUUUGAACUAAACUUGCAUAAUUGAUAUAAGGCUUAGAGUCCGAGUUUUGGAAUUCGAGAGAGCAUUCCAACGCGUUGCGACUGUGCAGAAAACAAUUUUUGUUGUACAAUCACAACUAAUUCUAUCCAUCUUAAAGUUGUGGUUUUUCUAAUGGUUUUGAUCUCAAUGGAUUUGCAUUUGCUUAUAGUUUAUGGUCUAUUUUGUGUUUUAUGCUCUCGAUGAACUCGAUGAUGUUAUGGAAAUCAGAGAUAAUGAGGCGGAAAUACGUAUUGCUGCAUAUGUUCGGCAACUGCGCGAUAAUGAGGCUGAAGUACUUAUUGUUGCUGGAACACCAAUGAAUUCACCACUAUGUACAUCUUAAGAACUGUCUAAUACGUAUAGCUGCAGUAAAUUGUUUAACUUUUUAAAUUUUUUAGGAAAUCGG